GACGUAGGGCGCAAGCGUUGUCCGGAUUUAUUGGGCGUAAAGAGCUCGUAGGCGGCUUGUCGCGUCGUCCGUGAAAACUUGGGGCUCAACCCCAAGCUUGCGGUCGAUACGGGCAGGCUAGAGUUUGGUAGGGGAGACUGGAAUUCCUGGUGUAGCGGUGAAAUGCGCAGAUAUCAGGAGGAACACCGGUGGCGAAGGCGGGUCUCUGGGCCGAUAUUGACGCUGAGGAGCGAAAGCGUGGGGAGCGAACAGG
rnacentral:rRNA from 1 species